rnacentral:rRNA from 1 species
GACGAACGCUGGCGGCGUGCCUAAUACAUGCAAGUCGAACGAAGCUGUUUUAACUGGUGCUUGCACCGACUUAAACAACUGAGUGGCGAACGGGUGAGUAACACGUGGGUAACCUGCCCCAAAGCGGGGGAUAACAUUUGGAAACAGAUGCUAAUACCGCAUAACCACAGAAACCACAUGGUUUCUGUGUCAAAGAUGGUUUCGGCUAUCACUUUGGGAUGGACCCGCGGCGUAUUAGCUAGUUGGUAAGGUAAUGGCUUACCAAGGCAAUGAUACGUAGCCGAACUGAGGGGUUGAUCGGCCACAGUGGGACUGAGACACGGCCCAAACUCCUACGGGAGGCAGCAGUAGGGAAUCUUCCACAAUGGACGAAAGUCUGAUGGAGCAACGCCGCGUGAGUGAAGAAGGUUUUCGGAUCGUAAAACUCUGUUGUCAGAGAAGAACGUGUGCGAGAGUAACUGCUCGUGCAGUGACGGUAUCUGGCCAGAAAGCCACGGCUAACUACGUGCCAGCAGCCGCAGUAA